CUGUGCUUAGGAGCGAGCGGAUUUUCGGAAUUCAACUGGAAAAUGCAUAGUAAUUGCAGUCGUAUCGCCAUUCCCUCUUCCAGACCCCUUGUCUCUAGCUGUCACUUCGGGGUGCUCACCGGCCCCCCUCGUGUGACUCGGCCUCCAGAGGGACAGGAGAACCAGGGUAAUCUGCAGCGGCCGCCUUAGCGCGUCCACUCACGUGAUGCACACACAGAUCGGCAAGUCCUUGUCUUCCCUCCCAAUCUGCUCCUCUCUAUCCUUCGGUAGUUCAGUAAACGGUACAACCAUUUGUC